rnacentral:misc_RNA from 1 species
CUAGUCACUUGGAGAAGCAAGAAGAAAAAUGUGACAGCUAGAUCGAGUGCAGAGGCUGAGUUUAUAGCAAUGGCUCUAGGUAUUUGUGAACUAUUAUGGUUACUAAAGUUGAUGGAGGAAUUGAAAUUGCUGGAAGCUAGUGGUUUGUCCUUAUUUUGUCAUAACAAAGCGGCCAUCAGUAUAGUUUACAAUCCAGUUCAGCAUGAUCGGA